CUCAUUACAUUUACCAGUAAUCUUUUUUUUUUUUUUACCUUUACCAGUAGUCUUAUGGAUUUAAAUUACCAGCUGGGGUCACUUGCUUUCAGCUUGAAGAACUUUCUUUAGUAUUUCUUUUAAGACACCACCUUCUCAAGCUCAUCAAUAAAAACCUUCACCGCAGGACUGGCAACCUGUUUCUCUGGGACCCCUCUCUGCUGGAGAUAGCUCUUCUCUUUCUUUCACCUCUUAAACUUUCACUGCUGAUCUCACUCUCCGAUACAACGAUAUCCUCAUUAGAAAAAGACACACAGACAAAGGGAUGACCAUUUAAGACACAAUGAGAAGGCAACCCACUGCAAGCCAUGGAAGAAAGCAAACCUGCUGACACUUUGAUCUUGAGCUUGAAUCCUCCAGAAUGGUGAGAAAAUAAAUUUCUGUUGUCUCAGCCACCCACUCUGUGAUAAUUUAUAUGGCAAGGUUCGCAAACAAAUAGUUACUAAGAUGACAGUUUGUAUAAGGAAAUUCAGCUCAAAAAUAAUAGAAGACUCCCAUAAGGACAACUGUCACCAAGUUGAAGGUGUAUGUAGUUAAUUCUAAAUGUCAUCUUGACUGGGCCAAUGGGGCCCAGCUUAAAUAUUAUUUCUAGGUAUCUUUCUGAGGGUGUUUCUAGAUG
rnacentral:lncRNA from 1 species